rnacentral:rRNA from 1 species
CCUACGGGUGGCAGCAGUGAGGAAUAUUGGUCAAUGGGCGAGAGCCUGAACCAGCAAAGCCGCGUGAGGGAGUACUGCCCUAUGGGUUGUAAACCUCUUUUGUCGGGGAGCAAAAGCCGGACGUGUCCGGCUGUGAGAGUACCCGAAGAAAAAGCAUCAGCUAACUCCGUGCCAGCAGCCGCGGUAAUACGGAGGAUGCGAGCGUUAGCCGUGUUUAUUGGGUUUAUAGGGUGCGCAGGCGGAUUUUUAAGUCAGCGGUAAAAUCGUGGGGCUCAACCCCAUCCAGCCGUUGAAACUGGGGAUCUAGAGUGUGCGAGAGGUAAGCGGAAUUCGUGGUGUAGCGGUGAAAUGCAUAGAUAUCACGCAGAACCCCGAUUGCGAAGGCAGCAUACCGGUGCACAACUGACGCUCAGGCACGAAAGCGUGGGUAGCGAACAGGAUUAGAUACCCUAGUAGUC